rnacentral:rRNA from 1 species
CUUGCAUCAUUGUAAUGAUGAUGCAAGAUCGACUAUGUCGAAUAAAAUUCUAGGUAGAAUUAUGAUAAUGACAUUGUCUGCCUAUGUGUCUUGACCAAAUUACGUGCCAGCAGUCGCGGUAAUACGUAGAAGACUAGUGUUAUUCAUGUUUAAUCGGUUUAAAGGGUACCUAGACAGCAAAUCAAGCUUUCAAAAAAAGAAAAGGACUAAUUUGCUAGAGUUACUUAUGAGGGGGUUUUAAAGUACUGAUGGUGUAGAGAUGAAAUUCUGUCAUACCUCUUUUCAAAAGAAAAAUUGAUGGCACAGGUAUAGGCGAAGGCAUCCCCUUAUGUGAUAACUGACGUUGAGGGACGAAGGCUUAUACAGCGAACAGGAUUAGAUACCCCAGUAGUCUAAGCAGAAAAUGAUGAAUGUCAUAGAUUAGAUAUAUAAGUUUAUUCUAUAAAUGAAAGUGUAAGCAUUCCACCUCAUGAGUAAUUUGGCAACAUUGGAACUGAAAUCAUUAGACCGUUUCUGAAACCAG